UACGGAAGGCAGCAGUGGGGAAGUAUUGCACAAUGGGCGAAAGCCUGAUGCAGCUAUGCCGCGUGUAUGAAGAAGGCCUUAGGGUUGUAAAGUACUUUCAUCGGGGAGGAAAAACAAAACUAAUAAUUUUAUUUCUUGACGUUACCCGAAAAAGAAGCACCGGCUAACUCCGUGCCAGCAGCCGCGGUAAUACGGAGGGUGCUAGCGUUAAUCAGAAUUACUGGGCGUAAAGAGCACGUAGGUGGUUUUUUUAAGUCAGAUGUGAAAUCCCUGGGCUUAACCUGGAACUGCAUUUUGAAACUGAAAUACUAGAGUAUCGUAGAGGGAGGUAGAAUUCUAGGUGUAGCGGUGAAAUGCGUAGAUAUCUGGAGGAAUACCUGUGGCGAAAGCGGCCUCCUAAACGAAUACUGACACUGAGGUGCGAAAGCGUGGGGAGCAAACAGGGAUUAGAUACC
rnacentral:rRNA from 1 species